UUCCCGAGGAUCUCCGUCUUCGUCUCUAUGUGCUCUGCCAGGGAAGCAUUCCAAAAACCUCAGCUCACUUCCUAGCCAGGCCACGCCACACCAAGUUACCAACCCUUUUUUCUCUUCUGGGGAGGGAGAGAGAGGUCUGGAAGUAAUACGCUUCCCAGAUAUGGGACACUCAAAGGCCAGAGCUUUUGAGUUCGAUGUGUUCUUGAGUUUUAGUGGAGUGGAUACUCGUUUUGACUUCACAGACUUCCUCAAUAAAGACUUGAAUAAUGCCGGAAUCCGCGUAUUUAGGGACGAAGACUCAAUCAAGGUGGGUGAUAAGAUUGGUGAGACAAUUCUACAAGCUAUCAACAACUCCAAAAUCUACAUACCCAUCAUCUCUCAAACUUACCCUAACUGCAAAUGGUGUCUUUUGGAGCUUGAACGCAUGAUGAACAAUGUGUCUCAAUCAGAGGGGAUAGAAAAAGGAUUUUCCCCCUUUUUUAUAAAGUGGAACCUGGGGAUGUUAAACAUAUGACUCCAUGCCCUGAGAAUCUUCCCUCCGAAGUCGAACUUAAGGCGCUCAAAGAGACUUGCAAAGAUUGGUCAAAUCAAGGGAUGGAAGGUCGAGGAGCGACAAAGCCAAGCAAAAAUUGUCGAUUUGGUCGUUCGAAAGGUUUUGGAGGAGCUAGGUAGAAAAGAUGAGUCACAGACUGAGCAUCCAAUUGAGCUUGAUGACUUGACACAGUCACUUGAAGACUCUUAUAAUCGUGCAGUGAUGUGCUUAAAACUUUUGUGAAAUUUCAAUGCGGUCCAAGUGCAGCGAUAUGCCGGAAGAGAGAGCCUAAGCAGAGGAAGUAUAGGGAGAGGGACGAGUCUAAGCAGUACUAGUACAGAGAGGAGAUGGAGGAAUCUAAGCAUAAAUAGGUUGGAGGGCAUGGACAUGGAUGAGGCUAGGGUGAGUACAGGGAGAAGUGGAAUCAAAGGGAGUCUAAGCAUAAAUAGGAUGGAGGACAUGUACAUGGAGGAGGGCAGUGGGAGUACAGGGAGGAGGGGGAGAAGUGGAAGCAGCAGAAGCGGAGGGAGCAGUGGAAGCAGCAGAAGAGGGAGGAGCGGGAGCAGUGGAAGCAGCAGGAAUGGCAGCGGGGAAGAGGAAGUGGGGGAAGCAGUGAGAGGAAGUUUUCAAGAUAUUUGUUUGGGGGCAUUCUUGGUGUGCCUUUUUGUGCAUUGUGUUUUAGCCUUUCUCUGCUUAAUAACAAGGAAACAAGUCGAUAAACAGAUGGGUUAUGGAUGCUUCUUUCAUUUUUUGAUCAGCAUGGGAUGGUAAACGGUGCCGUUCAAACUUGUAAGGAGAUUUUCCAUAGAUUUGAUAAGUAUCUCAACUUCUGUAAUUCAAUCAUCUCUGAAAAUUCUGAUCCCGGUGCUUGUGGUUGGGCAUAUGGUAUGAAAAUAUUUGAUCUCAAAGAGUGGAAGAAGAGAAACAUCAUGGGAAUAUAUCACCGAUAGCAGGAAAUUAACGAGGAUAGGACAUUGUGGAUAGUCGGUGUCUUACCCCCUGGAUUGGUCACUUUCUACAAUCUGACUAAAUAGUUCGAUCAGAGGUGGCAUGCGUUUACACUCGGCUAUGAUCCAGCACUCAACCGGACAGAAAUGGACAAUGCAGCAGUCAUUCAUUACAAUGGAAACUGUAAACCAUGGUUGGAUUUGGCAGUCUCCAACUAUUUUGUAAAUCUAUGAUCAGUCUUGAAGGGGAACAAUGCAGCGGUGUAUGCUUAAUAAACCAAUGAAAGAGAAGGAACUUUGCAAUGCAAUUACAUUUCAACCUGACAUUCCUGAGAAUUGCCGACACGGUCUUGCGGGUUAGAGAACUGUCCUCCAAUGGAAGAUGGCAUGAAGUGUUAGUCCACUUUAACGAAGCGAAGUGAGCAGGAAUUGAAAUCACUGAGCCUUCCAUGAUUAAUUCUGUCAUCAAAGCGUCUUUCAAAGCUAUCUGAUAAACAAGGGAAGUCCAUCCAUGCUUGUGUGCUCAACCAGGGUCUCAAUACAUUCUCUUCCAUCAGCAAUUCCAUCAUGGAUUCGUACAUGAAGUGCAGGGACUUGGAAUCCGCGUUGGGCGCCUUCCGGUCAAUGCAAAGCAGGGAUUCCGUGUCGCAGAAUGUGCUCACUCAUAGGUUUCUUCAUCAGGGAAAUUUGGGAUGAAGGUUGUCAUGAUUUCGGCGAGCCCGAGUUGAUGGAUUCGAACCCAAUGUCUCCACUUUGGUACUGGUUCUCCAGGCGCAUAUGUGGAUGUUGAUAUGGAGCAAGCAGAUGGACUUUCAUACACUCUUGAAGUUCAUCAACGAGUGGAGUGGGCACAUUGAUCUCGAUUCAAUCUUAGGAAUGCAGAGACAUUAUGCAAAUGUGCGGGGAUAGUUUGUUCAAAACAGAGAUGAACAUGAAAAGGCACAAGGUUUCAGGAUGUGCCCGAACAAUAUAUGAUGAAGUAUGAUUACCUGACUUAAUGUGAAAACAUUGGAUCGGCAUUUAAAUUAGGGGGAAAAUCUCUCCUUCCCCUGCCAGUGAGGGGAAUAAUUGAGGCAAUUCCUGAUGAAUGAAGACAUGAAGCAAAAUGAAAUUGAUUCAACACAAGAAGGGUGUAUCGUUCCUAAAUUAGUCCAAUUCAAGUUUGAAAUGCAAGUAACAUGUCCCAUCUCUUGUAGGACAAGGCGCACAUCAACCGCAGGAGCGACGCCUUCUACCAAGUUGGCAUGCUAAGGCCCAACCAUCCAUUUUGUUGUAAAGGAUUUAUAUCGUUCGUAAAAUGAUUUCUAGUCAAGUGUGAAAAUAACAUGCCCAGUCUUCUAAACGUCUCUUUGAGCAGAGCAUUUGAAAAGAGCAAGAAUUGAACUUUGUGGAUUAUCAUAUGCAGUAAAGAAAUGUUUUUCAUAAAUAAAAUCAAGGCAUAGAGGCAUUUUUCAAGCAAUCCUGUCACUUUAGGUGAUUUAUGUCAUGCAUAUCAUGCAUAUAUCCUUCAUAAUAUUUUCCUAACAUGUGUCGUCGUCAUUCUUGAUAGGAAAUGUCAAUACCCGAAAAACAAAAACACGUGAAGGGUAAAUUGUAUCGAUUCUAAUUGCUGAUUUUGAUACUGUUUCUAACGCGAUUCUCUUUUCCUUUGAUUUGGAUUACAUCAAACACUUGUAAGAGGUGUGGUACCAUUCUGAUUAGUGGUUCUGUUAAUGGUUACUGAUGAUUAUAACACAAGCUUGUAGGAUUUUUUAGUAGGAAAUGACAAUGAUAGUAGAUGUUCCAAUUAAAAAGCUAGCACAAAUCGAGAAAGGGAAACAAAUUACUUGUACUUUGAGCUGUUCACAAGGUGAUAUGCUUCUUUUUGGAUUUAUGAGGUUCCUGUGUUUCUCAUAACCAUGAGAAGAGAGAAAAGGUUUUGGGGGGGUGGUACAUUGCUAACUUGACGGUACCAUUUGCUCUGUAUCAUUUAUAUAUGAUGAGUUGCCAAAAGAUUGUCUCCCCUCUGAUUAACAUAACUUGUUCUUCACAUGCAGAGUCUUGACCGUAUAAUAUGUCAGCCUUUGGAAGGUACAAAUGCUCAAUACUAGACAUGCAAGCUAGGUUGCUGUUAGACACGCUGGGGAAGGGUAUUGAGUCUGCUUUGGUGUAUCCUCAAGCAUUAGUAGCUGAGCCAUGGUAGGCAUUAAGUGAAAUGUUUUCUGGAUUGAUUCUUGUAGGAGUUAUGUGAAGAUCAAUUUGUUGGAGAUAUGCGAGAUACGCGAAUAUCAAUUUGGGAUCAUAAUUGAUCUAUAGUAUCGUUUCAAAAAUCAAUAUAGAAUUAGAUUUGAUAUUUUUGAUUUCUUGUAUUCGGUCUUAUUCCUUCUUUAGCUAUAUAUCGAUUGUAUUAUAAAUAGGAGCGUAUUCUUGUAAAGGACGAUUCAUUUAAUACAGAAUACAGAUUACUCCCAAGUC